ACGGGAGGCAGCAGUGGGGGAUAUUGCACAAUGGAGGAAACUCUGAUGCAGCAACGCCGCGUGAGGGAAGAAGGUCUUCGGAUUGUAAACCUCUGUUUUUAGUGGCGAAACAAAUGACGGUAGCUAAAGAGGAAGCCACGGCUAACUACGUGCCAGCAGCCGCGAUAAUACGUAGGUGGCAAGCGUUGUCCGGAUUUACUGGGUGUAAAGGGUGCGCAGGCGGGACUGCAAGUUGGAUGCGAAAUACCGGGGCUUAACCCCGGAGCUGCAUCCAAAACUGUGGUUCUUGAGUGGAGUAGAGAUAAGCGGAAAUCCGAGUGUAGCGGUGAAAUGCGUAGAUAUUCGGAGGAACACCAGUGGCGAAGGCGGCUUACUGGGCUCUAACUGACGCUGAGGCACGAAAGCAUGGGUAGCAAACAGGAUUAGAUACCCUGGUA
rnacentral:rRNA from 1 species